AUGUCCUGACGUGGACUCAGCGUUAUAUAGCUACCUUGACGACUGUUAUGGCUCCUUCAACACCUCUUCUUCUAAUCCAGCAGAAUCCAUCUUCUUACCCCAACUUUUUGGAAUCUCUGACGUCUCUGCGCCGCCUGAUGAAUACAACAACUAUUACCAGAAAAUGAGUGUGAAUAAUAAUGCUACACAAUACUUUCACGGUGGGGAUCAAGAAUACUACGGUUUUUCACCGGAGAUCAAGCCCUCGUUCCGUCCGGCCACAGGAGAGCAAUCAUGGGUACGUAU
rnacentral:lncRNA from 1 species